AAGAGCCCAGCACCGAAGCCUGCGGCAGUUUUGCUGUUAGGCAAUGUGGUGUGCGGGUCGGUUAGCGGGACCGUCACUCCACUCGAAGUCCAGCAUUGAGUAUGGUUAUCACUGGAUUUGGCCCAUAGAGGGUGAGAGGCCCWUACGAGUGGAGGUUCAGAUAUGUGUGACGGUUCACUAGGCCGACCUCAGAGUCGGGUUGUUUGAGAUUGCAGCCCAAAGUGGGUGGUAAACUCCAUCCAAGGCUAAAUACUAACACGAGUCCGAUAGCGAACAAGUACCGUGAGGGAAAGUUGAAAAGUACUCUGAAGAGAGAGUAAACAGUACGUGAAGCCGCAUGCAGGUAAACGGGUGGCGUCAAGCUGCGAGCCCGGAGGAUUCAGCUGAUUAGGAUGUAGUGUACGCGCGCCUGGUGCGUCGAGAGACCGGAAUAAGAUGUCUUGUGGUCCAUUCCUUUAGUAGGAGUGGGGCGCUAUCGGUGUGCAUGUGUUUACAUGUGUGUGCCGAUUGUCGCUAUGCAUGCCGGGUGGGUACCGGAGCAUGCCACUCAUCUGUUGGGUCACCUAGUCAGUGCAUUUUCUCCGUGGUGAACACCACGACCGGUGGAAUUGCCAGUCUGCUGUAAUCAAGUCGUAUCCUUCUAGUCCUGUCCUCUUUCUCUCACUCUCUCCUUUCUGUCUUUGCCUACUGCUAGUGCUAUUAUUCACUCACUUCUCGGUGGAUGGGUAGUAGUAAUGGUGGUGGUGGUAUUGAUGGCUGAGGGGUGUUGUGGGUAGUGGAUGUGUGUAUUAGGUGGGUACGAUCGCAGAUAGAGUCGGUGGACGGCGUAGUAGUGUUUCGGCACUAUUGCGUGUUAUCGUACACUCUCUAUCGUAGACGAUUAAUGGAGUUGACUGGGUACUGUGACUACUUCUCUAUUAAUCGGCGGAUUACAGUGGUAAAAAUGACUGUGCAAGGCACCGGAGUUAUCCACCUCGUUCAUUCAUUUCAUUCUUUCAUUUUAAUGGCUGGAUGGGAUGAAUGAAUAUUGGUACCCGACACGCACGUUACAGGUGCUAUGAAAUCGGGAUACGCCGCUGUCUGCCUGGUGUUGGGCCUGACUGUCGUGUUGCCUACACAAAGUAGGUCCGGCAGUGGUUGCAGAUACUUGGCAGUGGCAGUGUGUAGCGUGUCUCGGGUGUGUGUGGUACUGAGGGUGAAAUAGUCAGUGGUGCUGUGGUAGACUAGCUACCCGACCCGUCUUGAAACACGGACCAAGGAGUUUAACAUGUGUGCGAGUCAAAGGGUUCUACGAAACCCCAAGGCGCAAUGAAAGUGAAGUUCAUGCUGUACUUUUGUACAUGCACAGUACAGUGUGGCGAGGUGAGAUCUCCUUGUACUCAUGACACACGCCGCAGACCUUACUGGGCAUUAUUGGGGCAAGGAGCGCAUCACCGGCCCGUCGCAUGUUGUGGUCAUAGGUGUACUUGUGCGUGGAAGGGUGUCCUAUUGUUGUUGUUGUUCCU
rnacentral:rRNA from 1 species